rnacentral:rRNA from 1 species
CUACGCGGAACUGGCGUCGUUGUCUCGGUCGACACCGGGAGAGGUGUCUGGAGUCGCGGACGGAUCGGAGUCGGUGGCCGCGCCGAGCACCCGAGGGGCGGGGCGCCCUGGGUCGGGAUUGGCCCCUGCGGACUCGCCGAGGGAGCCAACCCCCGGUGUGGAGGAGGCGGCGGCGGUGUCGUCGUCUCCCCGCGCCCUCUUCACGCCCCGCGGCGCGGCUUCCACGGAGGGAGACGACGAGGUUGCGGAGGCAGGCGUCGCGGACGAAGAGUGGUCGGCGUUGGCGGCGGCGGGCUUGCCGACAUCAGCGAAGGAGUCCGCGCGGGCACCGGGGGUCGUGGAGGCAGAGGCGUCGUCGGGGUCGUCGUCGUCGUCGUCGAGCCCGUGCUCUUCCCUUCUUUUUUGCGCUUGGCGAUAGCGAGCUCUUCCCGAGCGUUCCAAUCAUCGAAUAAUCGCAGGAACGUGGGGGAGAGCUCCUCGUCCAUGGCGGUGGUGUCCUUGUAGAGGCCGAAGACGUGUCCGGGGAAGUCCGGGUCGCCUGACACGGCUGCCCCGACCAGAGCCCACGUCCCGUCCCCCGAG